rnacentral:rRNA from 1 species
AACGAACGCUGGCGGCAUGCCUAACACAUGCAAGUCGAACGAGACCUUCGGGUCUAGUGGCGCACGGGUGCGUAACGCGUGGGAACCUGCCCUUAGGUUCGGAAUAACUCCCCGAAAGGGGUGCUAAUACCGGAUAAUGUCUUCGGACCAAAUAUUUAUCGCCUUUGGUUGGGCCCGCGUUGGAUUAGCUCGUUGGUAGGGUAAAAGCCUACCACGGCGACGAUCCAUAGCUGGUCUGAGAGGAUGAUCAGCCACACUGGGACUGAGACGCGGCCCAGACUCCUACGGGAGGCAGCAGUGGGGAAUAUUGGACAAUGGGCGAAAGCCUGAUCCAGCAAUGCCGCGUGAGUGAUGAAGGCCUUAGGGUUGUAAAGCUCUUUUAACCGGGAUGAUAAUGACAGUACCGGGAGAAUAAGCUCCGGCUAACUCCGUG